rnacentral:rRNA from 1 species
AUACGUAGGGGGCGAGCGUUGUCCGGAAUGAUUGGGCGUAAAGGGCGCGUAGGCGGCCCGGUAAGUCUGGAGUGAAAGUCCUGUUUUUAAGAUGGGAAUUGCUUUGGAUACUGUCGGGCUUGAGUGCAGGAGAGGUAAGUGGAAUUCCCAGUGUAGCGGUGAAAUGCGUAGAGAUCGGGAGGAACACCAGUGGCGAAGGCGGGUAACUGGACUGCAACUGACGCUGAGGCGCGAAAGGGUGGGGAGCAAACAGGAUUAGAUACCCUGGUAGUCCACACUGUAAACGAUGAAUGCUAGGUGUAAGAGGUAUCGACCCCUUUUGUGCCGGAGUUAACACAAUAAGCAUUCCGCCUGGGGAGUACGGCCGCAAGGUUGAAACUCAAAUGAAUUGACGGGG